rnacentral:rRNA from 1 species
UACGUAGGGUGCAAGCGUUGUCCGGAAUUAUUGGGCGUAAAGAGCUCGUAGGCGGUUUGUCGCGUCUGCUGUGAAAACCCGAGGCUCAACCUCGGGCCUGCAGUGGGUACGGGCAGACUAGAGUGCGGUAGGGGAGAUUGGAAUUCCUGGUGUAGCGGUGGAAUGCGCAGAUAUCAGGAGGAACACCAAUGGCGAAGGCAGAUCUCUGGGCUGACACUGACGCUCAGGCACGAAAGCGUGGGGAGCAAACAGG